rnacentral:rRNA from 1 species
CUCGUAGGCGGUUUGUCGCGUCUGCCGUGAAAGUCCGGGGCUCAACUCCGGAUCUGCGGUGGGUACGGGCAGACUAGAGUGAUGUAGGGGAGACUGGAAUUCCUGGUGUAGCGGCGAAAUGCGCAGAUAUCAGGAGGAACACCGAUGGCGAAGGCAGGUCUCUGGGCAUUAACUGACGCUGAGGAGCGAAAGCAUGGGAGCGAACA